AGGGAGAAAACACCUUUGGGAGCUGUAUCUGCCCAAAGGCAAACUCCUGUGGCAGGUGGAACAGGGAGCUGGCCAUGCUCCAAAUGCCUCCCCUGUUAGAAUCUUCACAUCUGCAUGUCUGUUUAGGUUGUCCAAGUUUUCAACUUAACUUAUCGCCAUUCUCCUGCCUCAGCCUCCCGAGUAGCUGGGACUACAGGCGCCUGCCACAACGCCCGGCUAAUUUUUUGUAUUUUUAGUAGAGACAGGGUUUCACUGUGUUGGCCAGGAUGGUCUCGAUCUCUUGACCUCGUGAUCCACCAGCCUCGGCCUCCCAAAGUGCUGGGAUUACAGGCAUGAGCCACCGUGC
rnacentral:lncRNA from 10 species